rnacentral:lncRNA from 1 species
UUGUAUUAAACAGUCCACCAACCCUUUUUGCAGUGAUGACUUGAUAAUAAUCAUUUUCUUCUAUUUUCACCUUCUUAAAGUCCUCAAUAUAGGAUGGUAGCCUAAAUGGAGUGUUUAUUGUGAAAUUCUGCUGCUUGUCUUCCAUCCUUAUGAUGAGCCCAUUUGUUUCAAAAUCCAACAAGGCUUGAUCAACUGAUAGGAGUGAUCUUCCCAAGAUAAUUGGCAUCUGUGUGCUUUUUCUAUAUCAUGGAUAAUUAAGUCAGCUGGAAA